rnacentral:rRNA from 1 species
GACAGCAGCAGCCGCGGGAAUACGAAGGGUGCAAGCGUUACUCGGAAUUACUGGGCGUAAAGCGUGCGUAGGUGGUGGUUUAAGUCCGUUGUGAAAGCCCUGGGCUCAACCUGGGAAUUGCAGUGGAUACUGGGUCACUAGAGUGUGGUAGAGGAUAGUGGAAUUUCCGGUGUAGCAGUGAAAUGCGUAGAGAUCGGAAGGAACAUCUGUGGCGAAGGCGACUAUCUGGGCCAACACUGACACUGAGGCACGAAAGCGUGGGGAGCAAACAGGAUUAGAUACCCGCGUAGUCCCUGUCUCUUAUAC